AGUAACACGUGGGCAACCUGGCUCAUAGAGGGGGAUAACAGAGAGAAAUUUCUGCUAAUACCGCAUAAGCACACACUGCCGCAUGGCAGAGUGUGAAAAGAGAAUCGCUAUGAGAUGGACCCGCGUCUGAUUAGCCAGUUGGCAGGGUAAGAGCCUACCAAAGCGACGAUCAGUAGCCGAUCUGAGAGGAUGAACGGCCACAUUGGGACUGAGACACGGCCCAAACUCC
rnacentral:rRNA from 1 species